rnacentral:rRNA from 1 species
GUACGGGAGGCAGCAGUCGGGAAUUUUGGGCAAUGGGCGAAAGCCUGACCCAGCAACGCCGCGUGAAGGAUGAAGUAUUUCGGUAUGUAAACUUCGUAAGAAUAGGAAGAAUAAAUGACGGUACUAUUUGUAAGGUCCGGCUAACUACGUGCCAGCAGCCGCGGUAAUACGUAGGGACCAAGCGUUGUUCGGAUUUACUGGGCGUAAAGGGCGCGUAGGCGGCGUGGUAAGUCAGCUGUGAAAUCUCCGAGCUUAACUCGGAACGGUCAGCUGAUACUGCUGUGCUAGAGUACAGAAAGGGCAAUCGGAAUUCUUGGUGUAGCGGUGAAAUGCGUAGAUAUCAAGAGGAACACCUGAGGCGAAGGCGGGUUGCUAGGCUGAUACUGACGCUGAGGCGCGAAAGCUAGGGUAGCAAACGGGAUUAGAUACCCUGGU